rnacentral:rRNA from 1 species
ACGGGAGGCAGCAGUAGGGAAUAUUGCACAAUGGGGGAAACCCUGAUGCAGCGACGCCGCGUGAGUGAUGAAGUAUUUCGGUAUGUAAAGCUCUAUCAGCAGGGAAGAUAAUGACGGUACCUGACUAAGAAGCCCCGGCUAACUACGUGCCAGCAGCCGCGGUAAUACGUAGGGGGCAAGCGUUAUCCGGAUUUACUGGGUGUAAAGGGAGUGUAGGUGGUUUGGCAAGCCAGAUGUGAAAGCCCGGGGCUCAACCCCGCGGACUGCAUUUGGAACUGUUAAACUUGAGUGCAGGAGAGGUAAGUGGAAUUCCUAGUGUAGCGGUGAAAUGCGUAGAUAUUAGGAGGAACACCAGUGGCGAAGGCGGCUUACUGGACUGUAACUGACGUUGAGGCUCGAAAGCGUGGGGAGCAAACAGGAUUAGAUACCCUGGUA